UGGGCACCAUUUUUGAUCUGGUGUCCAGCUCUUAUAAUACAUCCGUGUUGGGCAUCCACUUGUGUGAAAUGAAUUACCUCAAGAAGUUCCUCUGAGGCAUCAGCAACUACGGCAUGGAGGAGUAUCACACUGGCCCAGUGUCCACAUUGACUGUGCGUAUACCUUCAAAACACAUGGCACACUGAAACCGCACCUUUCCAGAUCACACAGCAGGACGGUCGAAUGGCAAGAGAAGUCACUUUUUUUGUGUCUUACAAACUUGUUGAAACCAGCUACGCAGACCUAGAAAUCCUAGAUCUGGAGUUUUUGAACGAUUAUUACCCACUGGCUGCAUACACAAUAGGAGGAAAGGUGCUAGUGACCCCGAGGAUGUGCCUGUUGCAUUGAAAGGACUUGUAAUGACUUUCUUUCUGUUAUUGCAAGUAUAGAUAACCCCAAGACUCAUCUGGAAAGUCCAGUUUAUUCAGCCACCAGAGUCUGAACUACGAGAGAAGCUUCAGCUUGAACGUGGAUUCUCCCUACAGUAUGAAGACCCUGAUUUUGAUAAUACACUUUCGAACUUGGUGGACAUUGCAGAGUUGCCCGCAGAAUGAGCCAUCCUCCACAUUCUGUGGGAUAAAGACAUAUUAGUAUUUGAUCAAUCAGAGACAGUGUCUAAUGCUUCCUUUUCCCCCUCCAUCUCUUCCUUUGACACAGCCAACACCAGCUCACCUGGCUCCCCCAACAGCCCUUCUUCAUUUAUUCAUAACUAUUUAUGAUGCACCUCACAGUAGCCUUCUCCAUUUCCUAUUCCCCCCUUCUCAUAUGAUAUUGAGUUGAAGUUGCAUAAGGGCAAUGAAGUAUAUUUGUCCUGAGAGCCUACCCUGACAAACCUCAAAUUGAAUCUGUUGCUUCUGAAGUUGUUCAUAACCACCCAUGCUUUAAGGAGCCAGGCACCGGCACAAGAUAUCAUGGCUGGACAAGUCAAGUACAAGCUUGGCAACUGCAGGUCAAAGCUGCAUCAUGCAGGCCGCAAUGAGGUCAGUGUGAACAGGAAAAAGAGAGAGGGAGAAAGAUGGUAACGAGAGUAGUUUCCUUAAAAAAGCAAAAACGAAGAGAGGUCAAUCAUGUCCGCGAUCAUCCAGAAAACCAUGAUGAUGAUACAUUAGAAGAUGAAAGUUGGGCCUUUGUGGAUGAAAUGAAAAAGAGAUGUAAAGACAUGACACUCAUCAGACAGAAGAUGGGCCCCACAUUCUGCCUUAGGAAAAAGGAGAUCAUGGAUGUGCAGCCCAUGGUGUCAGAGAUCCAGGAGAGAUGGUCUGCUCUAUUUUCUGAAGAAUAGACAUCUGACAUUACAGUACACUGAAAGAGCACAUCCCUGGAAGGGCUUCCCCUGUUUGUUCGUGAGGAUUCAGAGAAGCUUUUCAGGACAUGUCUGGUGAAUACAAUAGCUCACAUUACCAGAUAAUCUGGGCCAAACAUCGGUACUGACCAAGGUCCCAGACCAGAUUUCUCCUCCAAUUGUCAGGAGGGGUGAAUUGGGGAUUAAUCAGCCAAAAACUCUUCUAGUCAGAGACCAGCUUAAGUCUGGUGAAGACUGACGUGGUGGAAGGAGAGACUUUGUCAGAGGCUAUAUCAUGGAACAGUUGAGCACCUUCACAUGUGACUCCUCAAAGGAAUGGUACUGUUGUUUUGUAGGAAGAAGCCAUUGUCUUGCAAGAUCUUUUAUGGGGAUUUAUUCAAUUGCGUAAUGCUACCAAUUUUAAGAAUUCUUCCUUUCCCCCAGGACAGUUCAGUCAGUAUUUGUGAACAUGAGGCUCUCUCCAAAGAUUUUGAGUCUGUAAAAUGUUGGAUGAGCUCUUACACCCAAAUGAGGUUCAUAUUCUGGCAUUGCUAGAAGGUCUGAACCAGAAUAAAAUCCUCAUUUGGGUGUAAGAGCUCACACAAACAUUUUAUGAUCUCAUAAAGUUACAGCCCCACUUACUGUCUAUGGAGCAGUCCCAGAGUUAACAUCCCAGUGACAUCGCCGAUUGGAGGGUUGUCUCUGAUUUCUAGCUUUAGGGGAGAGUGAUGCGUGUUCAGAAAUACUGGCAACUGUCCUGGGACACAAAAGUAACGUGAAUUCUUAAAAUGGGUGACAUUCCUCUUAAUGCAUUCUUUAGCCAUUCUAAUUUGAUGGAUUGUGAAUUUCACUUUCUUGGCGUACUAUUUGCACUAUAUUGUGAUACCACCAAAAUCCACCAUUUUUCAUGCUACUGUACUACCUCAUUUUACAUGCUACUAUACUACCUCAUAACAAAAAUACUUUUUGCACAUUGUGACAUAGCUCUGGGAGGUGUCUUAGUCAGGUGUGUUGUUCUGAGAAGGGCUACUCCUUAGUCAAUUAGGGGUUUCUAAGGGUCUUAGUUAACCAAGAUAUUUUUAAUUUUUAACAUCAGUAAUUAUACACACCUCAGUGUUUUUGACUUGGAAGUGUGGAGGAUUUAAUAGAUUGGAAUAUUAUCCAGUCCAAUUGCAAUGACAGGUAGGUAUCUUGUGCAGAUUCAUCACUGCUAUAGGCCUUCACUGUAUUUGAAAA